GCAUCUUUGGUCCAGCGGUAGGAUAAUCGCCUUCCAAGCCUUCCGUAUCCCGGAUUGGCAAGUCAGCGAUUGGCUCGGGUUCGACUCCCGGAAGAUGCA
rfam:Paraphaeosphaeria sporulosa strain AP3s5-JAC2a unplaced genomic scaffold CC84scaffold_12, whole genome shotgun sequence.